rnacentral:rRNA from 1 species
UUUGUGCCACCACGGAGAUCUUUGGACCAUGCCAUCACUCUGCAACAGGAUGCACAACUAGUAAAUUCCAGACCCUAUCGAUACUCUCCCUUGCAAAAAGAUGAGAUCGAGCGACAAGUUAUGGAAAUGCUACAAGCAGGUGUGAUCAUUCCCAGCAUGAGUCCCUUUGCCUCCCCGGUCUUACUUGUGAAGAAGAAAGAUAAUACAUGGCGCUUUUGCAUCGAUUAUCACCGUCUCAAUGAUCUUACUGUGAAAACCAAAUUCCCACUUCCAAUUGUUGAUGAAUUACUGGACGAGCUUGUGGGAACCCAAUUCUUCUCAAAGCUGGACUUAUGGGUAGGCUACCAUCAAAUCCAAAUGCGCCCAGCUGAUGAAGCAAAGACAACAUUCAAAACACAUCAUGGCCAUUUUCAGUUUCGGGUAAUGCCUUUCGGCCUCACCAACGCACCAGCUACUUUUCAGUGUGUCAUGAACUCAAUAUUUGCCCCAUUCCUACGCAAGUUUGUGAUAGUGUUUUUGGACGACAUACUGGUCCAUAGUGCUUCAUGGACCCUGCAUUUGCAACACCUGCGCCAUGUGCUGGAAACACUACGAAAGUCACAAUUCUUUGCCAAACUGACCAAAUGUUCCUUCGGCCAACAAAACAUUCAGUACCUCGGCCAUAUUAUCUCUUCUGAGGGUGUGGCUACUGAUCCUGAGAAGACAACAACAAUGGAACAAUGGCCAUUACCAACAACAGCGACUGAACUGUGUGGUUUCCUCGGCCUGACAGGAUACUAUCAAAAAUUCGUGCAGAAUUAUGGCUUAAUUUCCAAGCCGCUGACCCAGUUACUCACCAAAAAGGGUUUUGAGUGGAAUGACCAAGCGACUAAGGCCUUUAUGACAUUGAAAUCUGUGAUGGCUCGUACCCCUGUUCUCGCCCUUCCGGAUUUCUCUGUGCCUUUCGCCGUCGAGACAGAUGCCUGUGACACAGGUGUGGGGGCAGUACUGAUGCAACGGGGUCACCCUAUUGCAUACAUGAGCAAAUCCCUGGGUGUUAUGAAUCGCAAGUUAUCAAUCUAC